GCACACCAGUAUUUCUACUUGCACAUCCUCAUCUGCACAUAUAUCACUCCAGUGUAAAUUGCUAAAUUGUAAUUACUUAGCCACUAUUGGACUAUUUAUUGCCUAACCUCAUUACUUAAUUUGCACAUGCUGUAUACAGAUUUUUCUAUUGUGUUAUUGACUGUACGAUUGUUUAUUCCAUGUGUAACUCUGUGUUGUUUUUGUCACUCUGCUUUGCUUUAUCUUGUCCAGGUCGCAGUUGUAAAUGAGAACUUGUUCUCAACUGGCCUACCUGGUUAAAUACAGGUGAAGUAAAAAAAAAAAUCAUCAUGUUUUUACAUUCUAGGGAUCCACAGGGUUACACCCUCAUUAAGAUGAAGGUUGCCGAGCCCUACCGUGCAAACUAAGUUACUACUCUAUGUGAACCCGACACACUGUAUUUUAUUUAGUAGCAUGAGACUCGGAACAACUUUUUCAUUGAUGUAACCAAUCAAUUUUGUGUUGUUAAUUGUGACAUAAGGUGCAAGUUGGUUGUCCUAAUAGCUGAUUAUUGCAGGGUGCUGCUUGAGAAUACAAUAAUUGUUUUGCACUCGUCUGAACACUUAUUUUCCUGGUAACCCUAACCCUGGAGUGGCCUUAAAAAUCUGAGCAUAUUCUUGGUGGUAGCUACUCUCAGACCAGAGAGCAUGUUUGGCUAGACUAACUGCUGGGUCCAUCCUGACAUCAAGUACCUAGCCUUCGAGACGGCCAGUGGAGACGUGUUCAUCAACACACGGAGGUCUACUAGGAACAUGUUUUACCAGGGCUUCACGAAGAAGAACGGCAAGGUCACAGGGAUCAUGGAUGUUCUGGGUGAAGAGAUGAUAUUCUUGGGAUGUGCUCUUAGUCCCCCUGCUGCCAUCUUACCAGACCAUCUAUGCUCUGCCUAUGCUCACCAUCAAGCAGGACAAUGGUAUUGGAAUAGUCAAGAAUGCUCCAAAUACCACUUAAUUGCUUCCAUGAUGUCUCUGCUCCAGCACGUCAAGAUCGGGCUUGAGGCCUUCCUCCUUUUGAAGAGCUAA
rnacentral:lncRNA from 1 species